GGCACUACGGUGCUGAAGCAACAAAUGCCCUGCUUCCAGGAAAAGCCUCUAAGCAUCAGGUAACAUCAAAUCGUACCCCAAACCGACACAGGUGGUCAGGUAGAGAAUACCAAGGCGCUUGAGAGAACUCGGGUGAAGGAACUAGGCAAAAUGGUGCCGUAACUUCGGGAGAAGGCACGCUGAUAUGUAGGUGAAGUCCCUCGCGGAUGGAGCUGAAAUCAGUCGAAGAUACCAGCUGGCUGCAACUGUUUAUUAAAAACACAGCACUGUGCAAACACGAAAGUGGACGUAUACGGUGUGACGCCUGCCCGGUGCCGGAAGGUUAAUUGAUGGGGU
rnacentral:rRNA from 1 species